UACGUAGGCAGCAAGCGUUGUUCGGAAUUACUGGGCGUAAAGAGUGUGUAGGCGGUGCUCCAAGUCUGGUGUGAAAUCCUCCCGGCUUAACUGGGAGGGUGCAUUAGAAACUGGAAUGCUAGAGGAUGGAGAGGUAAGCGGAAUUCCUGGUGUAGCGGUGAAAUGCGUAGAUAUCAGGAGGAACACCUGUGGUGUAGACAGCUUACUGGACCAUUUCUGACGCUGAGACACGAAAGCGUGGGUAGCAAACAGG
rnacentral:rRNA from 1 species